rnacentral:tRNA from 1 species
GCGAGCUUAACUCAGUUGGUAGAGUGUCACCUUGCCAAGGUGAUUGUCGAGGGUUCGAAUCCCUUAGCUCGCUCCA